rnacentral:rRNA from 1 species
ACGCUGGCGGCAUGCCUAAUACAUGCAAAUCGAACGAAGCCUUUUAGGCUUAGUGGUGAACGGGUGAGUAACACGUAUCCAAUCUACCCUUAAGUUGGGGAUAACUAGUCGAAAGAUUAGCUAAUACCGAAUAAUAACAUCAAUAUCGCAUGAGAAGAUGUAGAAAGUCGCUCUUUGUGGCGACGCUUUUGGAUGAGGGUGCGACGUAUCAGAUAGUUGGUGAGGUAAUGGCUCACCAAGUCAAUGACGCGUAGCUGUACUGAGAGGUAGAACAGCCACAAUGGGACUGAGACACGGCCCAUACUCCUACGGGAGGCAGCAGUAGGGAAUUUUUCACAAUGGGCGCAAGCCUUAUGAAGCAAUGCCGCGUGAACGAUGAAGGUCUUAUAGAUUGUAAAGUUCUUUUAUAUGGGAAGAAACGCUAAGAUAGGAAAUGAUUUUAGUUUGACUGUACCAUUUGAAUAAGUAUCGGCUAACUAUGUGCCAGCAGCCGCGGUAAUACAUAGGAUGCAAGCGUUAUCCGGAUUUACUGGGCGUAAAACGAGCGCAGGCGGGUUUGUAAGUUUGGUAUUAAAUCUAGAUGCUUAACGUCUAGCUGUAUCAAAAACUGUAAACCUAGAGUGUAGUAGGGAGUUGGGGAACUCCAUGUGGAGCGGUAAAAUGCGUAGAUAUAUGGAAGAACACCGGUGGCGAAGGCGCCAACUUGGACUAUCACUGACGCUUAGGCUCGAAAGUGUG